rnacentral:rRNA from 1 species
UACGUAGGCAGCAAGCGUUGUUCGGAAUUACUGGGCGUAAAGCGUGUGUAGGCGGCUCGGCAAGUCGGGUGUGAAAGCCCUGGGCUUAACCUAGGAAGUGCACUCGAAACUGCCAAGCUUGAGUUCUGGAGAGGAAGGCGGAAUUCUCGGUGUAGAGGUGAAAUUCGUAGAUAUCGAGAGGAACACCGGUGGCGAAGGCGGCCUUCUGGACAGCAACUGACGCUGAGACGCGAAAGCGUGGGGAGCAAACAGG